AAAAAAAAAAAAAAUCUAAUUAUUGGAAGGAGGAACUCGAACUUAAAUAAUUUACAAAUAAUAGGUUUGUCCGCCUCCCUUCUGUCCGUGUAGUUUAGAUUAAAAAUAAAAUAAUUAAUUAUUGAAUAAAAGAAAGUGAGAAUAAAAAUGUGAUAACUAUUAGGUUAUGUUAGAGCCCAUGUGUAUAAAAUAGUAAUAGUUUUAUUCGAAUUACAAUGUAAGCAUACAUAAAAUUUCAAGUUAAUUUAAUUUCUAAAUCCACUUAGGGCUCGUUUGGUACACAGGACUGUCUUGGCAUGGACUGUGUUUAGGGACUGGUUUGGCUUGGCUUGGCUUGGUCUAAGUUGGAUAACACUUAUCCUGCGUUUGGUGUAUGCUUGGACUAUGACUAGAAUUUUUUUUAUUUUUUCAAAAAUAUCUAUAUAUAUAUGUAUAUAUGUAUUUUAUAAUAUAUAUAAUAUGUAUGUAUAUAUACAUACAUAUAAUAUAUAUAUGUAUAUAUACAUGUAUAUAAGUAUAUUAUAAUAAUAUUAUAUAUUUUAAAUAAUAUAAACGUACAUACAUAUAUAUAUAUAUAAGUGUAUAUAGGUGUAUAUAUGUAUAUUAUAAUAUACAUGGGUAUAAUACAUAUACAUAUAUUUAUAUAUAUGUAUGUACAGUCCCCUUAUAUUGAGGGAUCCCUCAAAUAAUUUUAUUUGAGGGACGCCCUUUAGAGUACCCUACAAUUCUUUUCCCAAUAAUCCAAACCAUCUAUUUUUUAGGUAUUCAUUCAUAGAUCAUCCUUACAAAAAAUUAGACAAAUCGGAAACCGUUUCGACAUCCAAUUGUGUCUUACAAAAUCAAUGAACACGGUGCUUUAAGAAAAGUACUAAAAUUUCAAUAACUCAAUUGAGUGGUCACAUGAUAUCGGAUUCAAGUGAUUUUUUGUAGAGAUGAUCUUUGAAUGAGUAUCUACAAAAUAGACGGUUUGGAUUAGUGAAAUACAAUCCGGAGUGGGGCCUACAAGAGGUGUCCCUCAAAUAAGCUUAUUUGAGGGAUCCCUCAAUGGAAGCUCUCUGUAUGUAUGUAUAAUAUAAUAUAUAUAAUAUAUAUGGGUAUGUUAUAAUAAUAAUAAUAAUAUACAUGUAUAUACGUGUAUAUAUGUAUAUUAUAUAUGUAUUUAUAUAUACAUAUACAUUAUAUAUAUUAUAAAAUACAUAUGUAUAUAUAUUAUAUAUUAUAAUAUACAUAUAUAUACGUAUAUACAUGUAUAUAAUAUAUGUGUAUAUAGGUGUAUCUAUAUAUUAUAAUAUAUACAUAUAUAGGUGUAUCUAUAUAUUAUAAUAUAUACAUGGGUAUAAUACAUAUACAUAUAUAUGUAUAUUAUAAUAGAUAAUAUAUAUGGGUAUGUUAUAAUAAUAAUAUACAUGUAUAUAUGUAUAUUAUAAUAUAUAUACAUAUAGUAUAAAUAUAUAAUGUAUAUGUGUAUAUACGUGUGUAUAUGUAUAGUAUAAAUAUAUAAUGUAUAUGUGUAUAUACGUGUGUAUAUGUAUAUAUACUUAUAUAUAUAUAUUACAUAUAUACAUGUAUGCUAUUAUUAUAAUAUUAAUAUGUAUGUGUAUAUGAGUAUAUUAUAAUAAUAAUAAUAUACGUGUAUAUAUCUAUAUGUAUUUAUAUAUUAUAUAUGUAUAUAUGUGUUUAUAUAUAUAUAUGUAUAUACGUGUAUAUAUGUACAUUAAUAUAUAAUAUAAUAUAUAUUACAUAUAUACAUGUAUACAUGUAUGUAUUAUUAUAAUAUUAAUAUGUAUGUGUAUAUGAGUAUAUUAUAAUAAUAAUAUAUGUGUAUAUAUCUAUAUGUAUUUAUAUAUAUAUAUAUUAUAUAUGUAUAUAUGUAUUUAUAUAUAUAUACAUGUAUAUGUGUAUAUACAUGUAUAUAUGUACAUUAUAGUAUAUGUGUAUGUAAUAAUAAUAAUAAUAAUAAUAAUAAUAAUAAUAAUAAUAAUAAUAAUAUAUGUUAUUAGUAUUACAAUAUAAUAUAUGCAUCUUAUAUAUUGGUGAACAUAGGACUAGCUAAUCCUCCCUUUCUACAUGGGUUUAGUAGUCCCCUCCUAGUGAGGUAUUUUUGGUGGGCCCGGUAUUAGCAAUCCCAUCUAAGACUAGAAUUAAAUGAAACAAACAUGGUACUAAAUUUAGUCCAAUCCAGUCCAAGCCAAGCCUGUGUACCAAACGACCCCUUAGAUGAUUGCUAUGGACUAGAAAAAUGUGGUUGUUAAGUAGACUUGGAAG
rnacentral:lncRNA from 1 species